UUGGAGGGCAAGUCUGGUGCCAGCAGCCGCGGUAAUUCCAGCUCCAAUAGCGUAUAUUAAAGUUGUUGCAGUUAAAAAGCUCGUAGUUGAAUUUCGGGAUUGAUGUGAUGGUCAUGCCUUAAGGGGUAUGAACUGUUACUGUUGAUUUCUCACCUUCUGGAGAAACUUGAUGUCCUUUAUUGGGUGUCUUGCGGAUCCAGGACCUUUACCUUGAAAAAAUUAGAGUGUUUAAAGCAGGCAUUUUUGCUCGAAUACAUUAGCAUGGAAUAAUAGAAUAGGACGGCAUGGUUCUAUUUUGUUGGUUUCUAGGAUCACCGUAAUGAUUAAUAGGGAUAGUUGGGGGCAUUAGUAUUCAAUUGUCAGAGGUGAAAUUCUUGGAUUUAUUGAAGACUAACUACUGCGAAAGCAUUUGCCAAGGAUGUUUUCAUUAAUCAAGAACGAAAGUUAGGGGAUCGAAGACGAUCAGAUACCGUCGUAGUCUUAACCAUAAACUAUGCCGACUAGGAAUCAGACGAUGUUAAUUUUUUAAUGACUCGUUUGGCACCUUAUGGGAAACCAAAG
rnacentral:rRNA from 1 species